UCUGUCUUAUCGACAAGCGGUCCCUUUAGAGUGCCCAACUUAAUGCUGGCAACUAAAGGCAAGGGUUGCGCUCGUUGCGGGACUUAACCCAACAUCUCACGACACGAGCUGACGACAGCCAUGCAGCACCUGUCACCGCGCCCCGUAAGGGGAUUCGCUACUUUCAUAGUUAUGCGCGGGAUGUCAAGCCUAGGUAAGGUUUUUCGCGUUGCGUCGAAUUAAACCACAUACUCCACCGCUUGUGCGGGCCCCCGUCAAUUUCUUUGAGUUUUAACCUUGCGGCCGUACUUCCCAGGCGGGGUACUCAAUGCGUUAGCGACGACACCGGAACGGCAAGACGUUCCGACAUCUAGUACCCAUAGUUUACGGCAUGGACUAC
rnacentral:misc_RNA from 1 species